UCCAUCCAUGCAUCCAUCCAUCAUCCAUCCAUCAUCCAUCCAUCCAUCCAUCCAUCCAUCAUCCAUCCAUCCAUCAUCCAUCCAUCAUCCGGUCUAAAGUCUUUGUUUCUCAGUAACAAACAUGGAAAGAAGUUUGAAGCCUCGUUUCUGUCGGUUCAGGUGAGUCUCUUACAGACAAACUGGAAAUAUUUUUCUACUGAACUUUGUUUUAUGGUUUAUAUUAUUUAUUUUAUUGAAGCUCAAGUAAUAUUCCAGGUUAAUUCUGAAAAAGACCUGAAUAAAAAAAACAUGAAUUCACAAACAUUUGGAGUUUUUUGUCAGCUUCUGUCCACAGAAAAUAACAUUUUCAUUUCUUUGACAGAAGAAUUAUUUUUAAAAUGUUCAUUUUUGUGGACAUUAGGAGCAGGAAGUGUUUUUGAUGACCUUUCAUUUGAACUGUUCAUUCAGAAACUGUUCCUAUUUCUGCAAAUAACCUAUUUUAAAUAAACAUAUUUAUGCUGCAACAAGUACUCCGGUCGUUUUUUCAUCAGUAACAUGAAUACUCGAGUACUUACAGAGUAAAUAUUUGUUUUACAGGACGGUGACUGGAGUAGAAUAUUUCAGAGCUUUCUCAUUCGUUUGUACUUUUCCUCUUUUCAAUAAAGCUUUAAAACCGAUGAAAACAUUUUAGAUUUAAGAAUAAACUUUUUACCUUUAAGGUUUAGACACAGAUGGAUGAAACUAACGGAUGAAUCUUCAUCAGGGGGGGUGUCACGGUGCCCCCGGCCGGGUCCUCCUCAUCAGCUCCACCUGAUGCCUCCAGCUGCGCCUCCUCAUCCUCAUCAGCCAGCAGACUCUUAAGGAGACCACGGACCUGUAACCGACGCUAGUUCGUUGUACUCCUAUGGACCUCGCUUACCGGAGGAGCAUACCUGAUCACGGGUCACCUCUCGCCGUCUCGCUCGGACGUUCUCCAACCCCAGUCUCGGAUCACGCGGUUGCUGCCAACAAUACCCUCCAACCUCUCCUUGGACAAUCUGGAAGGAUACUGGAGCUCAAGUCCAUCCUGACCUUUUCUAAUUAAAAACCUCAUUAUUCUCA